UAGGGAAUCUUCGGCAAUGGACGAAAGUCUGACCGAGCAACGCCGCGUGAGUGAAGAAGGUUUUCGGAUCGUAAAACUCUGUUGUUAGAGAAGAACAAGGACGUUAGUAACUGAACGUCCCCUGACGGUAUCUAGCCAGAAAGCCACGGCUAACUACGUGCCAGCAGCCGCGGUAAUACGUAGGUGGCAAGCGUUGUCCGGAUUUAUUGGGCGUAAAGCGAGCGCAGGCGGUUUCUUAAGUCUGAUGUGAAAGCCCCCGGCUCAACCGGGGAGGGUCAUUGGAAACUGGGAGACUUGAGUGCAGAAGAGGAGAGUGGAAUUCCAUGUGUAGCGGUGAAAUGCGUAGAUAUAUGGAGGAACACCAGUGGCGAAGGCGGCUCUCUGGUCUGUAACUGACGCUGAGGCGCGAAAGCGUGGGGAGCAAACAGG
rnacentral:rRNA from 1 species